GAACAUGAGAGUUUGAUCCUGGCUCAGAACGAACGCUGGCGGCAUGCUUAACACAUGCAAGUUGAACGCAGAAUAGGGCUUCGGCUCUAUUGCUGAGUAGCAAACGGGUGAGUAACGCGUGGGAAUCUGCCUUCUUGUGGGGGAUAACUAAGGGAAACUUUAGCUAAUACCGCAUACGCUCUACGGAGGAAAGGCUUCGGCCGCAAGAAGAGGAGCCCGCGUCAGAUUAGGUAGUUGGUAGGGUAAAAGCCUACCAAGCCAAUGAUCUGUAGCUGGUCUGAGAGGAUGAUCAGCCACACUGGGACUGAGACACGGCCCAGACUCCUACGGGAGGCAGCAG
rnacentral:ncRNA from 1 species